AUUUUAUUGUGGGUCCCAAUGUGGGGGUCCAUCCAUUGGGAUGUUAUGGGGUAUAUGGGGUAUAUGGGGUAUUUAUGGGGUAUCUAUGGGGUCUCUAUGGGGUCUCUAUGGGGCGGCCUUGCCCUGCGCCCUGUGCUGUAGGUCCUGCUGUAGCUUUGCCAGCAGCUCCCGCUGCUGCUCCGACCUCUGCUCCAUGUCCUGCAUCUGCUGCUCACAGCGCUUGCUGUAUGGGAUUAAUUCAUACGGGAUUAAUAGGGGAUUAAUAGGGGAUUUAUAGGGGACUAAUAGGGGAUUAAUAGGGGAUUAAUAGGGGACUAAUAGGGGAUUUAUAGGGGACUAAUAGGGGAUUAAUAGGGGAUUAAUAGGGGACUAAUAGGGGAUUAAUAGGGGAUUAAUAGGGGACUAAUAGGGGAUUAAUAGGGGACUAAUAGGGGAUUAAUAGGGGAUUAAUAGGGGACUAAUAGGGGAUUAAUAGGGGAUUAAUAGGGGAUUAAUAGGGGAUUAAUAUGGGGUUAAUGGGAUUAAUGGGAUUAGGAUUGGGAUUAAUGGGAUUGGGAUUUAUUGGGAUUGGGAUUAGGAUUGGGAUUAUGAUUGGGAUUAAGGUUAGGAUUGGGAUUAAUGGGAUUGGGAUUAAUGGGAUUAAUGGGAAUAGGAUUGGGAUUAAUGGGAUUAAUGGGAUUGGGAUUAAUGGGAUUGGGAUCAAUGGGAUUGGGAUUAAUGGGAUUAAUGGGAUUAAUGGGAUUAGGAUUGGGAUCAAUGGGAUUAGGAUUGGGAUCAAUGGGAUUGGGAUUAUAUUGGGAUCAAUGGGAUUGGGAUUAAUAGGAUUGGGAUCAAUGGGAUUGGGAUUAAUGGGAUUAAUGGGAUUAAUGGGAUUAGGAUUGGGAUUAAUGGGAUUAGGAUUGGGAUUAAUGGGAUUAGGAUUGGGAUUGGGAUUAAUGGGAUUGGGAUCAAUGGGAUUGAGAUUGGGAUUAGGAUUGGGAUCAAUGGGAUUGGGAUUAAUGGGAUUGGGAUCAAUGGGAUUGGGAUUAAUGGGAUUUGUGGGAUUAGGAUUGGGAUUAAUGGGAUUAGGAUUGGGAUUGGGAUUAAUGGGGUUCAUGGGAUUAAUGGGAUUAGGAUUGGGAUUAGGGUUAGGAUUGGGAUUAAUGGGAUUGGGAUUAAUGGGAUUAAUGGGAUUAGGAUUGGGAUUAAUGGGAUUGGGAUUGGGAUCAAUGGGAUUGGGAUUAAUGGGAUUAGGAUUGGGAUCAAUGGGAUUGGGAUUAAUGGGAUUAGGAUUGGGAUUAAUGGGAUUAAUGGGAUUAGGAUUGGGAUUAGGAUUGGGAUUAAGGUUAGGAUUGGGUAAUGGGGGCUCUAGGGGUCCUAUAGGGGGGGUAAUGGUGCGUCUUAUUGGUGGGGUAAUAGGGCGGAUGAUUGCGGGGGUAAUAGGGGAUAUGGGGUUAAGGGGGGCUAUGGGGGGUAAUAGGGGGCUAUGGGGGGGUAUAGGGAUAUGGGGGUAAUAGCGGGCUAUGGGGGUAAUGGGGGGCUGUGGGGGGCAAUGGGGGCUAUGGGGGGUAAUGGGGCUAUGGGGGGAUAUAGGUAAUGGGCGGCAUGGGCACCGGUAAUAGGGGGGAUUAUGGGGGUUAAUGGGGGAUAUGGGGGCGUUUAAUGGGGUGAUAUGGGGGGUAAUAGGUGCGGAUUAUGGGCCGUGUAGGGGGAUAUUGGGGUAAUAGGGAUUGUAGGCGAGGUAAAUGGGGGAUAAUGGCGGGGCUAUGGGCGGUAAUAGGGGGAUAUGGCGGGGUUAAUAGGGGGUAUAUGGGGUUAAGGGGGGGCUAAGGGGAGUAAUGCGGGGCUAUGGGGCGGUAAUGGGGGGCUGUGGCGGUAAUGGGGGGCUAUUGGGGGAUAUAGGGGGUAAUGGAGGGGGUAAAUGAGGGGCUUUGGGAGGUUUAAUAGGGGUCUAUGGGGGAGAAUGGGGCUAUGGGGGAACUAGGGGGGUA
ensembl:lncRNA